AGUUUGAGGGUUGCCCUACAAUUUGCCUAUAAAAGGCAGCAUAUCUGCUCUAUUUUGAUAAGAUUUGGCAGCCUAAAAUUCCUCAAAAAUACUCCCCAAAGCUUCCAAAUCUGGAAUUGAAACUUCAAAUUUGAAAUUCUCUUGGAUUUUAACUUUUUUUCAAAAGAAAAACCAAAAACAAAUAAAAACCUUCAAAAAUCCAGAAAUAUUUACGGUUCCAUUGAUAAUUUCAAGUUUUGGGUAUUUGAUUUCCAUCAUCUGGCUCAAUAUUUGGUGGCUGAGGUUUAAAGGUUUCCUGAAGUGGAAUUCGAUUGAUUUUGGGUUUAUUCGGGCUGGUUUUUGGUCUAUUUGGUAGUUCUGUUUGGUUUUUAAACACUCCUGGAUUUCUGAACUGAUUCCUGGUUGUUCGUUUACUCAACACUGCUAGAAAAUGUUGUUUGUUGCUGCUGCUCAAUUUAUCACUUUAGCUGACUUUUUCUACCUCACUUCUAUUCCAAUUCCAGGUACACAACUGUCUUUCAUAACCGUGAGAUGAAAUGUGAAGGCAGAAUCCAAAUGAUAGUUGAAGCAUGAAAUUUGAAUUAUUUCCAUUUCUGAACCCUGUGUUUGAAAUUUAGUUAUUGAUGUUGUUUAAAUUCCUGUUUGUUUUGUAUUAGAUGGAUUAUUGUUGUGAUUCUGAUUCAAUAAGUGUUGUUUGCCAAGUUCAGUCCUAGGUCCAGUCACAUUAGUUAUAGUCAUUCUCAUGUUGGAUAUUGUCGUAAAUAUGUGUUAAAAAUGAUGUGUGUUGAACGGCUUUGAAUUUCAGUAGGUUGGAAGCAUUGAGAUCAAAAUAAUUGGCUGCUCGAAUUUUUAUCUUAGUUAUGUGGAAAGUAAUCUAUGCCUCAUCAUUGUAAUUAGGAUAUUGGAGUUAAAAUUGAGUUUUAGUACAUUCAAUCACAGAUUAUAAAGUCGCGCUUUAGUCAAAUAAUUUAAAGUUGGCUGAACUGUUUUGGGCUGAUUUAAGUUCCAAUAGUACGAAGGCAUCAUUUGAUCAUUUGAGUUUGCAUAGUAAUGUGUGUUGUGAUCGGUGAGGGUGUAUAAGUUUGUUAUUUUAGACAUUGAAUUUGAAUUGAUUUCUGUCAUGCUUAUUCAAAAUAUCACAAGCCACUCAAGUAAAAAUCUGAAUUUGUCAUUAAGCGUUUCAUGGAAUGCCUUCAAAUUUUGAACUGCAUAAUCGACCUCACGACAGUUUUAAGCGGUCAACGAAAUAUAAGUGUGUGCAUGCCAUUGAAUUCAUUAGGGCCUUUGCCUUAAUUUAGAGACAAAGUAAAUGGAAACUGAUAGUUGCUUUAGGAUUGGCCUUUAAAUAAAAAAUAUGAGACGAGUCUCGCCAUAAUGAAACUACAAAGGCGGGGCCCUCAAUAGUGUCUUAUGGAAAUACUUAGAAUUUGGGAGGGCCGUUUAGUGAAUUUCACGGCUUUCCCCAAAGUAAUAUUAAGUUAGAAUCUUUAAACGCAUUUAAUUAAAGUACUUUCCUAAACUCAGGUGUGCAUUGAUGCAACCCAAAUUCAAAUCCCGACGAAGUUGAAAUGUGUUGACGACCACGGGUGCCUUGAUGGUGACGGGGUUCGAAACGCAUUUUCACGAUGCCGUAAUUCUUGUAAACUAAACAACGAUCGAAGAAUAGUUCGAAAAUGGAGACGAGCCUCAGCGAACAAAAACAAAUGUGGGGCCCUCAAUAAUUAGUUAUUAAAAAUGAUUAGAAUUCGGAAGGGCCGUUUAACGAAUUUCAACGGCCUUUCCCAAACAAUAUUACGUUACAAACUUUUUAAGCGCGAUUUAAUUAAAAUUACUUUCUUAAACUCGAGCGCGCAUUGAUGCGACCCAAAUCCAAAUCUCUAUGAAGUCGAAAUGUGUUGAUAACCACGGGUGCCUUGAUGGCGACGUGGUCAAGGACGCGUUUUCACGACAUCGUAAGUCUUUAAAAGUAAAUAAUGGUAAAAGCGGUUUGAUAAAUAAAAGGCACAUAAGCUAGCAUGUAUUAAAAUCAGAUAAAAUCAAAUACGACAGUUGAACGACGGUGCUAGAACCACGGAAUCCAGAAAUGCCUAACACCUUCUCCCGGGUUAACAUAAUUCCUUACCCGGAUUUCUGAUUCGCGGACUAUUAACAGAGUCAUAAUCUUCCUCAGUUCGGGAUUCAAAUCGUGACUUGGGACACCAUUAAUCUCCCAAUUGGCGACUCUGAAUAAUUAAUAAAUAAAUCUCGUUCUGAUUGUCCUUUUAUUAGAAAAAUACCUUUAUGCCCUUGCGGGUGUAAUGAAAAAGGAGGUGUGACAGUUUAUGGAAGAGAUUCUAAAGUGUGUAGCAGCUGAUGACUUCAUACUUAUAGUAUUUUCGCUUCUGCGGCUUGGGAACCGAAGAAGCGGCUUAGGGCAUCGCAGAUGUGAGAUUGGGCAAAAGGCCAGGGAAAUUACUGUGAUGCUAAGGGUUUUAUCCGAGGCUUAAUUUUAAAGUUUGAAAAAUCAAGUUUGAGCUCGGGCAAAUGAGAGGGUUUUAAAUAUGAUAUUAUUGGGUAAUGUUACUAUGAUUCUUUUUAGUUAUAUUCCAUGGUUUUGUGGUUAAAAAUCCAUCUUUCAAAUUCGAAUUUAGGAUAAAAAAUUGGAUAAUUUGGGUAAAACUUCUUUGGCUAAACUAUUUAGUUUUGAAGGGGCAUUUGACCUCCGAUUGGAGAGAUUUUUAUAUGGUUAGACUC
rnacentral:lncRNA from 1 species